GACAGAGGUGCCGAGCGUUAGGCGGAAUCACUGGGCUAAAACGUGUGUAGGCGGGCCGUUAAGUGCCCCGUGAAAUCCCCCGGCUCAACCGGGGAACGGCGGGGCAUACUGGCGGCCUUGAGCCACUUAAGGGCAGACGGAACAAGCGGUGGAGCGGUGAAAUGCGUAGAUAUCGCUUGGAACGCCGACGGCGAAAGCAGUCUGCUGGGGGUGUGCUGACGCUGGAGACACGAAAGCCAGGGGAGCGAACGGG
rnacentral:rRNA from 1 species